AUUGAACGCUGGCGGCAGGCUUAACACAUGCAAGUCGAACGGUAACAGGAAGAAAGCUUGCUUUCUUUGCUGACGAGUGGCGGACGGGUGAGUAAUGCUUGGGAAUCUGUUUCAUGGAGGGGGAUAACUACGGGAAACUGUAGCUAAUACCGCGUAAUAUCGAGAGAUUAAAUGUGUGGGACCGUAAGGCCACAUGCCAUGAAGUGAGCCCAAGUGGGAUUAGAUAGUUGGUGAGGUAAUGGCUCACCAAGUCAGCGAUCUCUAGCUGGUCUGAGAGGAUGACCAGCCACACUGGGACUGAGACACGGCCCAGACUCCUACGGGAGGCAGCAGUGGGGAAUAUUGCACAAUGGGCGCAAGCCUGAUGCAGCCAUGCCGCGUGAAUGAAGAAGGCCUUCGGGUUGUAAAGUUCUUUCGGUGGUGAGGAAGGUUGGCGUGUUAAUAGCACGUUGAUUUGACGUUAGCCACAGAAGAAGCACCGGCUAACUCCGUGCCAGCAGCCGCGGUAAUACGGAGGGUGCGAGCGUUAAUCGGAAUAACUGGGCGUAAAGGGCACGCAGGCGGUGACUUAAGUGAGGUGUGAAAGCCCUGGGCUUAACCUAGGAAUUGCAUUUCAUACUGGGUCGCUAGAGUAUUUUAGGGAGGGGUAGAAUUCCACGUGUAGCGGUGAAAUGCGUAGAGAUGUGGAGGAAUACCGAAGGCGAAGGCAGCCCCUUGGGAAUAUACUGACGCUCAUGUGCGAAAGCGUGGGGAGCAAACAGG
rnacentral:rRNA from 1 species